GGAGUUACAGCUCAGUGGUAGAGCACUUGCUUGGUACGCACAAGGUCCUGGGUUCAAUCCCUAGUGCCUCCA
rnacentral:tRNA from 1 species